rnacentral:tRNA from 1 species
UGGUUCAAUGGUAGAAUUUCUGUUUCCCAUGCAGGAGGCCUGGGUUCAAUUCCUGG